rnacentral:lncRNA from 1 species
GAGUCUUCUGCAGCUGUGUCCACCAAGAAGGCCACAUUCCUGGACUGACCUCCACUUAAUUACUCUGAUCAACAAAGCCCCAGACUUUGUCCUCAAAAGUGGAGAGAGUAUUUUCUGAUAUGAAAAGUAGUUUUGCCUCCUCACCUAUCCUAGGCCAGCCGCUGCUGUGGGCUCCACCCUCGGAAGUUCCUUGGAGUCUCCUCUUCUUGAGCAAACCAUCUUCUGGAACUGCUCCCGAAUACAAGUUAGCUGGAGAGUAGAUACAGAAGCUGGAGCAGGAGCAGCCACCCUGGAACUUCAGGCUACUAUGGACAGAGUCACAUGAUGAAAUGAGUCCUUAAUGGCAUGGAGUGCUAUACCUGCUCUGGACCAACCUCCAGACUAUAUAUGAGAGAGAAAUUAACUUUUACCUUGUUUGAUUCUUCAUUAUUUUGGAUUAUUCUGUCACUCAAACUCACCUAAUCUCAACUAAUAAAUCUAGGCAAAGGCCAUUAUCCCACUUCCAGGUAAGAAAACUGAGGUUCAGAGGUGCUAAGUAGCCCAGAAUGCUUUUGUCCAACACCAAAGCCUUUGAGUUUUGUAUUACACUGAGUCUAAACUACCAUACAAAUUAAAAGUUUAGACAGGUCUUUAGGUAAAAUGCUGUGCAUUAUUGCUGUUCUUCAUAUCCGGAACUGAAAGAACAUAGGUUUGUCUUACAGUAAGAGGUUGGUAGACCUACCAUAUCACCUGAUCCCUAGUUAG